rnacentral:rRNA from 1 species
CGGCAUGCCUUACACAUGCAAGUCGAACGGCAGCAUGGAAGAGCUUGCUCUUCUGAUGGCGAGUGGCGAACGGGUGAGUAAAGCAUCGGAACGUACCGUGUAGUGGGGGAUAACGUAGCGAAAGUUACGCUAAUACCGCAUACGCACUGAGGUGGAAAGCAGGGGAUCGCAAGACCUUGCGCUAUACGAGCGGCCGAUAUCAGAUUAGCUAGUUGGUGGGGUAAAGGCCUACCAAGGCGACGAUCUAUAGCUGGUCUGAGAGGACGAUCAGCCACACUGGGACUGAGACACGGCCCAGACUCCUACGGGAGGCAGCAGUGGGGAAUUUUGGACAAUGGGCGAAAGCCUGAUCCAGCCAUGCCGCGUGAGUGAAGAAGGCCUUCGGGUUGUAAAGCUCUUUCGGCUGGGAAGAAAUCGCACAGGCUAAUACUCUGUGUGGAUGACGGUACCAGCACAAGAAGCACCGGCUAACUACGUG